AUGCAGUCAAACGGCAGCGCGGGGUAACCUGGCGGCGAGUGGCGAACGGGUGAGUAAUACAUCGGAACGUGCCCUGUGAUGGGGGAUAACUACGCGAAAGCGUAGCUAAUACCGCAUACGACCUAAGGGUGAAAGUGGGGGAUCGCAAGACCUCACGUCAUAGGAGCGGCCGAUGGCGGAUUAGCUAGUUGGUGAGGUAAAGGCUUACCAAGGCAACGAUCCGUAGCUGGUCUGAGAGGACGACCAGCCACACUGGGACUGAGACACGGCCCAGACUCCUACGGGAGGCAGCAGUGGGGAAUCUUGGACAAUGGGGGCAACCCUGAUCCAGCAAUGCCGCGUGUGGGAUGAAGGCCUUAGGGUUGUAAACCACUUUUGGUGGGGACGAGGCUUGUAGGGCUAAUACCUUUCUAUGAUGACGUUACCCGCAGAAUAAGCACCGGCUAACUACGUGCCAGCAGCCGGGGGUAAUAC
rnacentral:rRNA from 1 species